rnacentral:rRNA from 3 species
AGACCCGAAACCCGGUGAUCUAGCCAUGGGCAGGUUGAAGGUUGGGUAACACUAACUGGAGGACCGAACCGACUAAUGUUGAAAAAUUAGCGGAUGACCUGUGGCUGGGGGUGAAAGGCCAAUCAAACCGGGAGAUAGCUGGUUCUCCCCGAAAGCUAUUUAGGUAGCGCCUCGUGAAUUCAUCUCCGGGGGUAGAGCACUGUUUCGGCUAGGGGGCCAUCCCGGCUUACCAACCCGAUGCAAACUGCGAAUACCGGAGAAUGUUAUCACGGGAGACACACGGCGGGUGCUAACGUCCGUCGUGAAGAGGGAAACAACCCAGACCGCCAGCUAAGGUCCCAAAGUCAUGGUUAAGUGGGAAACGAUGUGGGAAGGCCCAGACAGCCAGGAUGUUGGCUUAGAAGCAGCCAUCAUUUAAAGAAAGCGUAAUAGCUCACUGGUCGAGUCGGCCUGCGCGGAAGAUGUAACGGGGCUAAACCAUGCACCGAAGCUGCGGCAGCGACACUAUGUGUUGUUGGGUAGGGGAGCGUUCUGUAAGCCUGCGAAGGUGGCCUGUGAGGGUUGCUGGAGGUAUCAGAAGUGCGAAUGCUGACAUAAGUAACGAUAAAGCGGGUGAAAAGCCCGCUCGCCGGAAGACCAAGGGUUCCUGUCCAACGUUAAUCGGGGCAGGGUGAGUCGACCCCUAAGGCGAGGCCGAAAGGCGUAGUCGAUGGGAAACGGGUUAAUAUUCCCGUACUUGGUGUUACUGCGAAGGGGGGACGGAGAAGGCUAUGUUGGCCGGGCGACGGUUGUCCCGGUUUAAGCGUGUAGGUGUGUGUUCCAGGUAAAUCCGGUUCACUUUAACACUGAGGCGUGACGACGAGGCACUACGGUGCUGAAGCAACAAAUGCCCUGCUUCCAGGAAAAGCCUCUAAGCAUCAGGUAACAUCAAAUCGUACCCCAAACCGACACAGGUGGUCAGGUAGAGAAUACCAAGGCGCUUGAGAGAACUCGGGUGAAGGAACUAGGCAAAAUGGUGCCGUAACU